ensembl:lncRNA
AUGGAUGAGCUUUACAAGCAUGUUGAGAGGCUCUGGCAAGUAGACACUGUACCUUACCGACAUGAAAGAGAGGUGACUCGGUCAAAGCAGGAUCAGCAGGCUGUAGCAUUGCUUGAAGCCAAGACGGUCCGUACUAAUGUAGAUGGAAUUCUUAGGUACGCCACACCAUUGCUGCGCCAUCCGAGCAUGCCACCUUUGCACUCGCCAAAGGAGUCAGUUAUGCCCAUGUUACGUAGUACUGAGAGGCGACUCUUAAAGGACCCUAAACUAGCAGAUGCGUACAAGAUGGAAAUGCAGAAGCUCAUAGAAACAGGUGCUGUGAGGGAAGUCACUGAGGAGACCUCUACCAAAGAGGGAUGGUACAUUUCACAUCAUCUCAUCAGCCACAACGGAAAGAACCGCCUGGUCUUUAACUGCUCUCACCAGUACCUCGGGCAGACCCUGAACCAGUACCUGCUACCUGGCCCUACCCUUGGUGCCCCCUUGCUGGGAGUCUUAUUGAGAUUUCGUGAACAUCCCAUAGCUGUUAGUGGAGACAUCAAGGGGAUGUUUCAUCAAGUCCGCCUCAUCCCUGAAGAUCGCCGCCUUCUAAGGUUCCUGUGGCGGGACCUGAAGGUGGAAGAAACCCCAAGAACAUUUGAGUGGCAAGUUUUGCCUUUCGGCACAACCUGUAGCCCGUGCUGUGCGACAUACGCCCUGCAGCGCCAUGUUGUUGACCACUGCCAGCCGGACGAUGACCUGAGAUUCUCGGUUGAGAACUGCUUUUACGUAGAUAACUGCCUGCAGAGCGUGGGUACGCCGGGUGAAGCUAAACUGCUGGUGGAUCGCCUCAGGGAUCUUCUGAUUUCUGCAGGUUUUGAGUUGCGUCAAUGGGCUUGCAACAAUCCAGGCGUCCUGAGUCAUUUGCCUCAAGAGGCCAGAUCUGAAAGCCUGGACCUGUGGCUGGCACAGGAUAAGUCCAAUCCUCUGGAGUCAACACUCGGUCUCAGCUGGAAUUGGGCAACCGACUCCUUGGGCUACAAACAUAGGCCUGUGUCUUACGAGGUACCAACUCUGAGGAACAUUUACAGAGUUCUAGCUACUCAAUAUGAUCCCUUGGGUUACAUGUUACCUUUCUCCACUCGAGCGAAGCUCAUCAUCAGGCAGCUGUGGGAUAAGAAGCGAGGUUGGGAUGACUCUAACUUACCCGCCGAACUCCUGCAAGCCUGGUCCACCUGGGAGGCUGAACUGGAGUCCUUACCUCUCCUCACAUUUCCACGUGCAUAUGUUCCGGCGGACGCCAACCUUGAGGGUGCUACCCGUGAGGUGCACAUCUUCGCAGAUGCGUCUGAGCAGGCUUAUGGAGCUGUAGCCUACAUGAGAACCGAGGACAGGGAAGGCCAGAUCCACCUGUCUUUCAUCCUUGCUCGUUCACGAGUAGCUCCAAGACGUCUGCAUUCUAUCCCACGCCUGGAGCUUUGUGGAGCUCUGGUUGCAGCACAGCUGGCUCAUGUCCUUGAGAGGGAACUAAGCUUGACAGUGGCUCUAACUGUGUUGUGGUCAGACUCCACUACAGUCCUAACCUGGCUACACUCCCAAUCUUGCCGCUACAAGGUCUUCGUAGGCGCCAGAAUAGCUGAGAUACAGGAGUUAACAGAAAAGUGCACUUGGCGCUAUGUGGACUCAGCGAACAAUCCUGCUGAUGAUCUGACGAGAGGGAAGACCCUGGAGGCCCUAAUAGAUCCCAACCGAUGGUCUCAAGGACCUCCCUUCCUUCUCCAGAACCCAGCCACCUGGCCAGAAAGACCCAGCACUGAGCCAUUUGAGGACAAUGUGGAACUCCGGAAGACCACCUUCUGUGGAGUAACGAUUACCUCACCAAUGUCAAUCAGCAGGGAUGACAAGGUGUACCAAUCCUGGCAGGAGCUUAUAGAUGCCACUGCUCUAGAAAUCCUAGGACCAAACCCUUCAAGUUCACCACCUAAUGCUGAAGAGUACCAACAGGCAGAGAUGAUUGUUCUCCAGCGAGCCCAACAACAGUCAUUUCCAGAGGACUACAAACUCCUUGCAGCCGGGAAACCUGUCUCACCUGGGAGUCGAUUACUCACCUUGGCUCCGGAGUUAGAUAAAUCCACAGACCUCAUACGAGUAGGAGGUCGGUUACGACGUUUGGAAGGUCAAGAUGAUUUGACAUUGCACCCUGUAGUUCUGGAUGCCUCACACCCGGUUACACGCUUGCUUAUCCAAAGGUUUGAUAGCAACCUGCUCCAUCCUGGUCCAGAGCGGGUCUUUGCAGAGAUGCGGCGGUCGUUCUGGAUAAUCCAUGGAAGGGAGGCAAUUCGCAGACAUCAGCGUUCUUGUGCCGAAUGUCAGCGCUGGAGAGCUCAGCCUUCCAUUCCCCGAAUGGCGGACCUUCCCGUUGCUCGUCUCCGAUUACACAAACCCGCCUUCCAUUCCACUGGCGUGGAUUGUUUUGGACCCAUGUUUGUGAAGAUGGGCAGACGCCAGGAGAAACGCUGGGGGAUAAUAUUUAAGUGUUUAACAACCAGGGCGGUACACUUGGAUCUCCUCAGAAGUAUGGACGCGGAUGCUUAUUUGAUGGCCCUAAGACGGUUCAUCGCCAGAAGGGGGACACCUGCAGAGUUGUUGUCAGACCAGGGGACCAACUUCAGAGGAGGAGAACGGGAACUUAGAGAGGCUUUUGCCAGUAUGGAGCCAACCUUGCGGAAACGACUCGCGUGUCAGAGGAUUAAGUUUCAGUUUAACCCCCCAGCAGCUCCACACUUUGGUGGAGUGUGGGAGAGAGAGGUCCGCUCCGUCAAGUCUGCACUUUACACCUGUGUGGGGGCACAACCUGUUCAUGAAGAUGUCCUUCUCACCGUUCUCCUGGAAGUUGAGGCAAUCCUCAACUCUAAACCAUUGGGUUAUGUAUCUGCCGACAUUGCAGAUAUCGACCCUGUGACGCCUAAUAGUCUGCUUAUGGGGCGGCCCGAUGGAUCUCUACCCCAAGUGGUCUAUCCUGAGACAGAGCUCCUGAGUCGCAGACGCUGGAGGCAUUCACAAGUUCUUGCUGACCAAUUCUGGUCCAGAUUCAUCAGAGAAUAUCUCCCUGGGCUGCAGACCAGACAGAAAUGGCACUCCACUUCUCCUGAACUACUGGAUAAGGCUGUUGUCAUGCUGGUGGACCCGCAGCUACCUCGAGCCCUGUGGCCCAUUGGACAUGUAACCAAGGUCCACCGCAGCGACGAUGGAUGCAUUAGAUCCGCUGAUGUGGACAUCAGAGGACAUGUGUACACACGACCAGUAGCUCGGUUGGUGAUGUUGCCAGCUCUCCCGUCGGGGGAGGAUGAUGCCUCGGUGAGCCCCCCUCAGCCUGACUGA